AUACGUAGGGUGCAAGCGUUAUCCGGAAUUAUUGGGCGUAAAGGGCUCGUAGGCGGUUCGUCGCGUCCGGUGUGAAAGUCCAUCGCUUAACGGUGGAUCCGCGCCGGGUACGGGCGGGCUUGAGUGCGGUAGGGGAGACUGGAAUUCCCGGUGUAACGGUGGAAUGUGUAGAUAUCGGGAAGAACACCAAUGGCGAAGGCAGGUCUCUGGGCCGUCACUGACGCUGAGGAGCGAAAGCGUGGGGAGCGAACAGGAUUAGAUACCCUGGUAGUCCACGCCGUAAACGGUGGAUGCUGGAUGUGGGGACCAUUCCACGGUCUCCGUGUCGGAGCCAACGCGUUAAGCAUCCCGCCUGGGGAGUACGGCCGCAAGGCUAAAACUCAAAGAAAUUGACGGGGGCCCGCACAAGCGGCGGAGCAUGCGGAUUAAUUCGAUGCAACGCGAAGAACCUUACCUGGGCUUGACAUGUUCCCGACAGCCGUAGAGAUACGGUCUCCCUUCGGGGCGGGUUCACAGGUGGUGCAUGGUCGUCGUCAGCUCGUGUCGUGAGAUGUUGGGUUAAGUCCCGCAACGAGCGCAACCCUCGCCCUGUGUUGCCAGCACGUCGUGGUGGGAACUCACGGGGGACCGCCGGGGUCAACUCGGAGGAAGGUGGGGAUGACGUCAGAUCAUCAUGCCCCUUACGUCCAGGGCUUCACGCAUGCUACAAUGGCCGGUACAACGGGAUGCGACGCGGCGACGCGGAGCGGAUCCCUGAAAACCGGUCUCAGUUCGGAUCGCAGUCUGCAACUCGACUGCGUGAAGGCGGAGUCGCUAGUAAUCGCGAAUCAGCAACGUCGCGGUGAAUGCGUUCCCGGGCCUUGUACACACCGCCCGUCAAGUCAUGAAAGUGGGCAGCACCCGAAGCCGGUGGCCUAACCCCUUGUGGGAUGGAGCCGUCUAAGGUGAGGCUCGUGAUUGGGACU
rnacentral:rRNA from 1 species